rfam:Stegodyphus mimosarum contig65496, whole genome shotgun sequence.
GACUUCGUGGUGUACUGGUCAGCACGCUCGACUAGUAACUGAGAAUUCCGUGGUUCGAUUCCCGGCGAAGGCG